rnacentral:tRNA from 1 species
AGGAAAUUAGAAUUUUUUAUCUUUUCUGUUUGUAAAACUGAAGAUUCUAAGCCUU